AUCAAAUACUAUUUAAAAAUCUAAAAUUGAUCUCAGAUCCUAUCCAAUCUGAUAACUAAACCCGACUCGCAUAGUUUGGAAUUCCUCUCUCCUUCCUCGACAUAAACAAGGGAGAAGUAAUAUCCUCUGAGGGUCGAUUCUAAAGCCAAUAUAGCCAUCCCUGUCGGCUGGUGGGACUUGCCAGAGACUCAAACACUAGAUGGGUGUUCUUGUCUUUUGUGUUGUGAAACGAUGAUAAGGAUG
rnacentral:lncRNA from 1 species